UACAUAGAUGUAAACACAGAAAGUUCGUGCGAGCGGUGCUGCGGCGACAGUUGAAUGUCCGCUGUUCAGGGACGAAUUCCAGUGGUUCUUUACGGAUGGCCUUCCCAACUGCACGCGAGCGACGCGUGAUUGGGUCAGGGUCGAAUUACAAUUUUCAGGCCUUUCUACAUGAGACUACUCUGCAUGCAAGGGCCCCCGACGAGGGUCCUCUAAAAUUCGUCCCUGAGCAUCGUCGUCUAACAGCCAUACAGCUGUAAUCGUAGCAUGGAUCACGUGAACGUUUUGUUUACACUAUACACUACGUCCUCGUUGAAAGUAGUGCCUUAUCUACGCUCUCAUGUCGUUCAGCGGACUGUUAUGGUCUGAGAUCGGACUCUCUAUCACGCAGCUUUACACCAGUGCUGUCCACGCUGCCCCCCCUCCCCAAUGCGCUGGCUUUCCCAUCCAAGCGUCCUUUUGCCGAAGAAGGCAAAGCUAUUUACAUAUUCAGAGGUGAUGAGCAGUCCUCUGGGGGUAUUGCGGGGUAACUAGUGAUGGCUCCGCUUGACCGUACUAUCCACGCUUCUACCUGACUGCUUGCUGGAGCCUAUUGACAUAGUCACAAGAUCUAUGCACCAAUAUACACUACCGACUUCUUUCGUAGUGACGGCUGUGGAUCAACGUAUAUGCUUACGCUUUGCCGACUUCUAUUUUACCUGAUAAAAUACCCAUUUCAUUACGCACCUUGUCCGCUUUCUUUGUCGUACGAUCUCGUCUCUAGAUGUGACCGUAUAGGCCUAGACUCAGGUAAGGCAACAUUGAAAAUGCAUGUGAGACGAGGCGGAGCGUUGCAACCAAUCGUGCCCGAAUUCCUUAAAGGCGUCUUCUCAUCAGCUCUGAAUACAGUAGUGCACACUUACGUGCACACUUUCUUUGCUCACUAAAUCGUCCACUUCUAUCCCCACCAAUUCUAGGAAGUGAGGCUUUAGAGUGGAGUUCGAGCGUACCGAGUGAAACAUCGGACAUCGGUGACCUAGUCGCACGUAUCCUCACUCCUUCAUUUAGGUGAAUUCGCAGAAUACACCACCGCGUCCGCUUAAAACCCGUUUCACACGAGGAUGAUUGUAUUGCGAUGCGCGUAUGAUGAAUACCGCGACCUGUACCUGUAAUUAAAUGGGAGCAUUCAGAGGGCAAUAUAGUAUAUCACGAUACUUUUUCUUGUGCUGAACGCUGUACCACGUACACGUAUCGCGAUGCAGGUAUCUUCGUGUGAAACGGCUCUUGGUGUGCACUACUGUAGCACGACAGCAAGUACAGUAAUGGAACCUGCUGCUGCACGCUUUUCUUACUCCCUAAGUGGGCGCGCACAUCCCCACCAUUUUACUGCGCAUUCAAUCCGCAGUGGAUCCUGUCUCAGCGGUGAAUCAUCAGUCAAUCGGAGCAAAGAAAAUUUCUAAAUCGACCCUCGUUAACGGAUCAAGCUGAGACCUGAAGGUGUGCAGGAGUAGGACCCAUUACUGAACCUUCGCCGUCUUCGUGUCGUAGCGCGGUGGUGGGGACCAUCGGUUGUCCCCCGUGGACAGCACUGCUGCACACAAUCCAAAAAUAGUAAUUGUCAAAACCAUCACUUCAGCUACCCAAAUGAUAUCCAUGACACGUUUCGUCCCUAAGGCAAGUCUCUCCGAGCCCAAUUUCACAGCAGACAAUCAUUUGGUAUUUUUCAUUGAUGUUCUUUGCUCUUCUUCUCCCUUUACCGGCGCAUGAUGUCGGCUAUGGUGAAUCCUUGUCUAGCAGGAGCUGGUCUGGGAGGGGGUGGCGGUUGCGGGGUGGGUGCUCUGGGCGGACGCGAGACCUCUUCCUCGCGUUCUCUGUCGCGUUCCCUUUCUCUGGAUUGCUCUAUUUCCCGUUCCCUCUCCCUCUCGCGCUCCUGCAGCUCUAGAAGCACUCUGGACGGACCCGGUGACCCGAUUCUUCGUCGGUACGAGGUCAAAAUCAGCGGCGGCGGGGGCGGAUGGGCCGGCGGCGGAUUCUGGGCUACCGAGUGGCCGCCGAUCCCACCACUCGUCACCGUGGACGGUUUCGUGGUGGGCAACAGGUCUCUUCUGAUUUGAAGUUGAGGUCUCUGGGGGAGAGUGGACGAGGACGCUGGCGGGGGUGGUUGCGGCGGCCCCGAGGACCCCUGAGGAGGAUAAGGAGUUGUCGAAGCUGCUGGCAAGGAAGUGUUCGCGGAUCCUGACGUCGACGCCGACCCGGAUCCAGACGCUGACGAUCCUGUCUCUGGACAGUCUUCCUCAGGACUGUCGUCGUCCCUGAGGGCUUCCUCUAAGGCCUCCGGCGGCACGUCCCCUACAGCGUGGGUCAACGCGUGCCUCCUGAGGUCGCAGUUCCUGCGGAAUACCUUGCCGCAGGAGGUGCACUCGUACGGCUUGUGGUCCGUGUGAGUGAGGAGGUGGGUUUUCAAGUUGCUGCGCUGGUUGAAACUACGAGCGCAGACUGGACACUUGUGCGGGGACUCCUCCAUAUGUAGGAUCUUGUGCACCGCCAGGGUGCGGCUUUGGCAGAAGCCCUUGCCACACUCGCCGCAUUUGAACGGCUUCUCUUUACUAUGGAUGUACCUAGAACAUCGAAACAGUGGAAUAAUGAAGAUGCACUGAUUUUGCAUUUUGCAUCGAAAAUAGUAGUUGAUAAGUAUAUCUUUCAUGUCAUUAUACAUGGAGUGCCUCAUUUAAGUUGAGAUUGUAGAAAAUUUCGUAGACACGUGAUUUGAAAAAAGAAAACAAAUCGACACAUGUCCUUUAGUACUUCUAGUAGGGAGUCAAAUGACAUUAUUAGUUUUUUAAUGAGUGGGCGUUUCCGUAAACUUAUAUGUUUUAAUUAAUUUUAAUUAAAUUUGUUAGUGUGUAUCGUCUGCGUUUGUUUGUGACCUGAGCGGGGUAUGCGUGGCGAGGGAAACAUUACAGUAUAGAGAGCGAGUGUGUGAGCAGUAAAUAAAACGGGAAAUCGAGUGAGAGAGAGAGAGAGCGAGAGAGAAAAAGAGAGCUAGAGUAAAAAAAAGGAAAGAGUGCAAGAACAUACGUCUUAUAAUUAUUAUUAUGUUUAAUCCAAAAUAUAUUGAUUUACAUUUAUGUAUCAUUUGAUAAGUGGUUAAAAACAUAUAAUCGAUUCUUUCCCAUGGAUAACUCAUUAAUGGAUUGCGUAUUUCUAUGCAAAAUAAAAAUAGUUUGCAUGAA